CUAAGUUCAGGGCUUCCUGGAAGGACCUCCGCACGGUGCCCACCCACUGGGUCAUGUGGGUCUGGGCUACUGUGAGCUUGUCUCCCAGGCUUUCUCACUGCCACCUCCCAGGAACACAGCACUGAGCCAGACAUGUGGCCUCAUCUGAGGGCAACCUCCCACCAGUUGUGUGCCCACGUUGACCUUGGGCUCCGCAGCCAGGGAGCCCAGCCUGAGCCCACUACCACCACCUCCCUGCUGAAGGGCGCUUACUAUGCGCACGCAAGGAACGCACUGCGUCA